GACGAACCGUGCGAACGUUAUUCGGAAUUACUGGGCGUAAAGCGCACGUAGGCGGUCUGUCAAGUCGGAUGUGAAAUCCCCGGGCUCAACCUGGGAACUGCAUUCGAAACUGGCAGGCUAGAGUCUUGUAGAGGGGGGUAGAAUUCCAGGUGUAGCGGUGAAAUGCGUAGAGAUCUGGAGGAAUACCGGUGGCGAAGGCGGCCCCCUGGACAAAGACUGACGCUCAGGUGCGAAAGCGUGGGGAGCAAACAGG
rnacentral:rRNA from 1 species